rnacentral:ncRNA from 2 species
UAUAGACUGCCAAGCGCUGGUGUCAUGAUAUCUAAGGUUUCAUGUUAAAGGGAAUUUGGUGUAAAUCCAAAACUGACGCGCAGCGGUAAUUGAGAACGAACAUCUAUGGGUAAAUACACCCACACACUGCAAUGAUUGCGGGAAGUGAGAUGCUAGGUUGUAGAGCGUUUUCUACAGUGCUCAUGAGUCCGAAUACCUGCCAGUAACAAAAAGUGCAA